GACAGAGGAUGCAAGCGUUAUCCGGAAUGAUUGGGCGUAAAGAGUAUGUAGGUGGCUUAGCAAGUCUACUGUUAAAUCCCAGGGCUUAACUCUGGUCAAGCCGUAGAAACUGUUAAGCUUGAGUACGGUAGGGGCAAAGGGAAUUUCCGGUGGAGCGGUGAAAUGCGUUGAUAUCGGAAAGAACACCAAAGGCGAAAGCACUUUGCUAGGCCGAAACUGACACUAAGAUACGAAAGCUAGGGUAGCGAAUGGG
rnacentral:rRNA from 1 species